AGGGUGGCUGGAGGCAGAAGCAUAGAGUUUGGAAUCAGCCUGGGUUACUCACUGAGUCAGACUCUAACACCCAAACAAGCAAAUAUUAACAGCAGCAGCAGGAAGAGGAGCAACAAAAAGCCAGAACCACAACACGAUGCAAGACAAAUACAUUAAAAUCAU